rnacentral:rRNA from 1 species
UUAAGCGACUAAGCGUACACGGUGGAUGCCCUGGCAGUCAGAGGCGAUGAAGGACGUGCUAAUCUGCGAAAAGCGUCGGUAAGGUGAUAUGAACCGUUAUANCACUAUCGUUAACUGAAUACAUAGGUUAACGAGGCGAACCGGGGGAACUGAAACAUCUAAGUACCCCGAGGAAAAGAAAUCAACCGAGAUUCCCCCAGUAGCGGCGAGCGAACGGGGAGCAGCCCAGAGUCUGAAUCAGCUUGUGUGUUAGUGGAACGGUCUGGAAAGUCCGACGGUACAGGGUGAUAGUCCCGUACACCAAAAUGCACAGGUUGUGAACUCGAAGAGUAGGGCGGGACACGUGGUAUCCUGUCUGAAUAUGGGGGGACCAUCCUCCAAGGCUAAAUACUCCUGACUGACCGAUAGUGAACCAGUACCGUGAGGGAAAGGCGAAAAGAACCCCGGCGAGGGGAGUGAAAAAGAACCUGAAACCGUGUACGUACAAGCAGUGGGAGCACCUUCGGGUGUGACUGCGUACCUUUUGUAUAAUGGGUCAGCGACUUAUAUUCUGUAGCAAGGUUAACCGUAUAGGGGAGCCGCAGGGAAACCGAGUCUUAACUGGGCGUUAAGUUGCAGGGUAUAGACCCGAAACCCGGUGAUCUAGCCAUGGGCAGGUUGAAGGUUGGGUAACACUAACUGGAGGACCGAACCGACUAAUGUUGAAAAAUUAGCGGAUGACUUGUGGCUGGGGGUGAAAGGCCAAUCAAACCGGGAGAUAGCUGGUUCUCCCCGAAAGCUAUUUAGGUAGCGCCUCGUGAACUCAUCUUCGGGGGUAGAGCACUGUUUCGGCUAGGGGGUCAUCCCGACUUACCAACCCGAUGCAAACUACGAAUACCGAAGAAUGUUAUCACGGGAGACACACGGCGGGUGCUAACGUCCGUCGUGAAGAGGGAAACAACCCAGACCGCCAGCUAAGGUCCCAAAGUCAUGGUUAAGUGGGAAACGAUGUGGGAAGGCACAGACAGCCAGGAUGUUGGCUUAGAAGCAGCCAUCAUUUAAAGAAAGCGUAAUAGCUCACUGGUCGAGUCGGCCUGCGCGGAAGAUGUAACGGGGCUAAACCAUGCACCGAAGCUGCGGCAGCGACACUAUGUGUUGUUGGGUAGGGGAGCGUUCUGUAAGCCUGCGAAGGUGACCUGUGAGGGUUGCUGGAGGUAUCAGAAGUGCGAAUGCUGACAUAAGUAACGAUAAAGCGGGUGAAAAGCCCGCUCGCCGGAAGACCAAGGGUUCCUGUCCAACGUUAAUCGGGGCAGGGUGAGUCGACCCCUAAGGCGAGGCCGAAAGGCGUAGUCGAUGGGAAACAGGUUAAUAUUCCUGUACUUGGUGUUACUGCGAAGGGGGGACGGAGAAGGCUAUGUUAGCCGGGCGACGGUUGUCCCGGUUUAAGCAUGUAGGCUGGUUGUCCAGGCAAAUCCGGAUAAUCAAGGCUGAGGUGUGAUGACGAGGCACUACGGUGCUGAAGUAACAAAUGCCCUGCUUCCAGGAAAAGCCUCUAAGCAUCAGGUAACAUCAAAUCGUACCCCAAACCGACACAGGUGGUCAGGUAGAGAAUACCAAGGCGCUUGAGAGAACUCGGGUGAAGGAACUAGGCAAAAUGGUGCCGUAACUUCGGGAGAAGGCACGCUGGUGUGUAGGUGAAGCCCCUGCGGGUGGAGCUGAGACCAGUCGAAGAUACCAGCUGGCUGCAACUGUUUAUUAAAAACACAGCACUGUGCAAACACGAAAGUGGACGUAUACGGUGUGACGCCUGCCCGGUGCCGGAAGGUUAAUUGAUGGGGUUAUCCGUAAGGAGAAGCUCUUGAUCGAAGCCCCGGUAAACGGCGGCCGUAACUAUAACGGUCCUAAGGUAGCGAAAUUCCUUGUCGGGUAAGUUCCGACCUGCACGAAUGGCGUAAUGAUGGCCAGGCUGUCUCCACCCGAGACUCAGUGAAAUUGAACUCGCUGUGAAGAUGCAGUGUACCCGCGGCAAGACGGAAAGACCCCGUGAACCUUUACUAUAGCUUGACACUGAACAUUGAGCCUUGAUGUGUAGGAUAGGUGGGAGGCUUUGAAGCGUGGACGCCAGUCUGCGUGGAGCCAACCUUGAAAUACCACCCUUUAAUGUUUGAUGUUCUAACGUUGGCCCCUGACCGGGGUUGCGGACAGUGUCUGGUGGGUAGUUUGACUGGGGCGGUCUCCUCCCAAAGCGUAACGGAGGAGCACGAAGGUUAGCUAAUCCUGGUCGGACAUCAGGAGGUUAGUGCAAUGGCAUAAGCUAGCUUGACUGCGAGCGUGACGGCGCGAGCAGGUGCGAAAGCAGGUCAUAGUGAUCCGGUGGUUCUGAAUGGAAGGGCCAUCGCUCAACGGAUAAAAGGUACUCCGGGGAUAACAGGCUGAUACCGCCCAAGAGUUCAUAUCGACGGCGGUGUUUGGCACCUCGAUGUCGGCUCAUCACAUCCUGGGGCUGAAGUAGGUCCCAAGGGUAUGGCUGUUCGCCAUUUAAAGUGGUACGCGAGCUGGGUUUAGAACGUCGUGAGACAGUUCGGUCCCUAUCUGCCGUGGGCGCUGGAGAAUUGAGGGGGGCUGCUCCUAGUACGAGAGGACCGGAGUGGACGCAUCACUGGUGUUCGGGUUGUCAUGCCAAUGGCACUGCCCGGUAGCUAAAUGCGGAAGAGAUAAGUGCUGAAAGCAUCUAAGCACGAAACUUGCCCCGAGAUGAGUUCUCCCUGAGACUUUAAGUCUCCUGAAGGAACGUUAAAGACGAUGACGUUGAUAGGCCGGGUGUGUAAGCGCAGCGAUGCGUUGAGCUAACCGGUACUAAUGAACCGUGAGGCUUAACCUU